GGGAUAUAGCUCAGUUGGUAGAGUGCUUGCCUCACAUGCACAAGGUCCUGGGUUCAAUCCCCAAUCCCA
rnacentral:tRNA from 1 species